rnacentral:rRNA from 1 species
GGCGGAAUGCUUUACACAUGCAAGUCGAGCGGCAGCGCGGGGCAACCUGGCGGCGAGCGGCGAACGGGUGCGUAACACAUCGGAACAUGUCCAUUCGUGGGGGAUAGCCCGACGAAAGCCGGAUUAAUACCGCAUGAGCCCGAGAGGGGAAAGUGGGGGACUCGAAAGGGCCUCACGCGGAUGGGUUGGCCGAUGUCCGAUUAGCUAGUUGGCGGGGUAAGAGCCCACCAAGGCGAUGAUCGGUAGCUGGUCUGAGAGGAUGAUCAGCCACACUGGGACUGAGACACGGCCCAGACCCCUACGGGAGGCAGCAGUGGGGAAUUUUGGACAAUGGGGGCAACCCUGAUCCAGCCAUUCCGCGUGAGUGAAGAANGCCUUCGGGUUGUAAAGCUCUUUUGUCCGGAGCGAAAAGGUUAGCGUGAAUAUCGCUGACUACUGACGGUACCGGAAGAAUAAGCACCGGCUAACUACGUGCCAGCAGCCGCGGUAAUAC